rnacentral:rRNA from 1 species
AUUGAACGCUGGCGGUAUGCUUAACACAUGCAAGUCGAACGGUAGCAGGCCUUCGGGCGCUGACGAGUGGCGGACGGGUGAGUAACGCGUAGGAAUCUGCCUAGUAGUGGGGACAACUUAUGGAAACGUAAGCUAAUACCGCAUACGCCCUACGGGGGAAAGCGGGGGAUCUUCGGACCUCGCGCGAUUAGAUGAGCCUGCGUUGGAUUAGCUAGUUGGUGGGGUAAAGGCCUACCAAGGCGACGAUCCAUAGCUGGUCUGAGAGGACGAUCAGCCACACUGGGACUGAGACACGGCCCAGACUCCUACGGGAGGCAGCAGUGGGGAAUAUUGGACAAUGGGCGAAAGCCUGAUCCAGCAAUACCGCGUGUGUGAAGAAGGCCUGAGGGUUGUAAAGCACUUUCAAUAGGAAGGAAUACCUAUCGGCUAAUACCCGGUAGACUGACAUUACCUAUACAAGAAGCACCAGCUAACUCCGUGCCAGCCGCCGCCGUAA